UACGUAGGGUGCAAGCGUUAUCCGGAUUCACUGGGUUUAAAGGGUGCGUAGGCGGGCAGGUAAGUCAGUGGUGAAAUCUUCGAGCUUAACUCGGAAACUGCCGAUGAUACUAUCUGUCUUGAAUACCGUGGAGAUGAGCGGAAUAUGUCAUGUAGCGGUGAAAUGCUUAGAUAUGACAUAGAACACCAAUUGCGAAGGCAGCUCGUUACACGAAUAUUGACGCUGAGGCACGAAAGCGUGGGGAGCAAACAGG
rnacentral:rRNA from 1 species